rnacentral:rRNA from 1 species
GACGAACGCUGGCGGUGUGCUUAACACAUGCAAGUCGAACGGAAAGGCCCUGAUUGCUGGGUGUUCGAGUGGCGAACGGGCGAGUAACACGUGGGUGAUCUGCCCCCUACUUUGGGAUAAGCCUGGGCAACUGGGUCCAAUACCGGAUAGGACCAUGCUGCUGCUGGUGUGGUCGGAAGAUCAUCUUAGGUUAGGGAUGAGCUUGCGGCCUUUCAGCUUUUUGGAGGGGGAAUGGUCUACCAAGGCGUAGACGGGUAGCCGGCCUUAGAGGGUGGAAGACCACAUUGAGACUGAGAUGCGAGGCAGACUCCUGCAGGAGGCAGCAGUGGGGGAUAGUGCACAAUAGGCGCAAGCCUGAUGCAGCGACGCCGCGUGGGUGGUGACGGCCUUCUGGUUGUAAACUCCUUUCGGCCAUGACGAAGCCGUUGUGGUGACGGUAGUGAUAGAAGAAGCACCGGCUAACUACGUG